CUUUGUGUUCGCGAAGUUGGUAGGUCUUCGCAACUGCUACUUGAAAGCAGUCAACGAUCGCGCUGCAUUGUGGCGAUCGAAUGGCCGCCUCGUCCGAUGUCUGUCCAUUCUGUUCUUCUGUAAUUAGUUUUACUUUAUCUGGUGGUCCCCGCGAGAACGGUAUCCCCCGUCGACCCGGUUUAGUGACAUAGCAACAAUAUUAGCAUUAACAAAAGUAACAUUGAAAUGGAAAAGAGUGCUGAUGGCUUGCUGUUUCGCACUGAAAAAAAUAAUGGUGCCGAGGAAACAGCCAUGGACAUUGUACGUGUUGAUGAGAGGGUGGCUAUUUUAGACGCAGGUGCACAAUAUGGAAAGGUGAUAGACCGAAAAAUUCGUGAAUUAAAUGUUCAUAGUGAAAUUCUGCCACUUGAUACACCCGCAUUUACUUUACAAGAAAAAGGAUAUAAGGCUAUUGUAAUUUCUGGAGGUCCUAGUUCAGUAUAUGCGGAAGAUGCACCUAGAUAUGAUGCUGAUAUCUUUCGAAUAGGAAUUCCUGUAUUAGGUAUUUGUUAUGGGAUGCAAAUGUUAAACAAAGAAUUCGGUGGUACUGUAACCAAACGAGAAGCUCGAGAGGAUGGCCAAUAUCCCAUUGAAGUUGAUACCAAGUGCCUGUUAUUUAAGGGCUUGGAUAAAGAUCAAAUGGUAUUGUUAACACAUGGAGAUUGCAUAGAUAGGGUGGCCGAGUGUUUUCGUACUACUGCCAGAUCAUCAAGCUUCGUAGUGGGUAUAGCAAGCGAUAAAAUGAAUUUGUACGGUGUACAAUUUCACCCAGAAGUAGAUUUAACAUCCAAUGGAAAAACAAUGCUACAAAACUUUUUAUUUGGUAUUGCUGGUCUUACGGGUAAUUAUACGCUCCGUGAUCGGGAAGCACAAUGUAUUCAAUAUAUCAGGAAUACUGUGGGUAACAAGAAAGUUUUGUUACUGGUGAGUGGUGGAGUAGAUUCAACAGUAUGCGCAGCACUGUUACAUAAAGCUUUAAGCAAGGAACAAGUUAUAGCUUUACACAUUAACAAUGGCUUCAUGCGGAAGGGAGAGACACAAUCAGUGGAACAAAGUUUAGCGCAACUAGGUGUUAAAUUAAAAGUAGUGAAUGCUGGUCGCUGCUUUAUGCAAGGCACGACGACUGUUCCUCUGGACAACAUCGCAUCCAUGAUGAACGCUAAUGUAACCAACAAUAAAGGAAUGUGCGGCACGGCGAGUAGCCCGAGAACCAGAUUAACGAAGAUGUUAUGCGAGACCACCAAUCCGGAGGAGAAACGGAAGAUUAUAGGAGACAUUUUCGUAAGAGUUGCGAACGAGACAAUGGCGGAAAUGGGAUUGAAACCAGAAGAUGUUUUUCUUGGACAAGGCACUCUUAGGCCUGAUCUCAUAGAAAGUGCAAGCGCCUUAGUUAGUGGUAAAGCAGAUGUCAUAAAGACACACCAUAACGACAGUGAGCUCGUGCGAGUAUUACGAGCGCAAGGGCAUGUAGUCGAGCCGCUGAAAGAUUUUCACAAAGACGAAGUGAGGCAGUUGGGAUGCGACCUCGGCUUACCAACAUCGCUCGUCGUUCGUCAUCCAUUCCCGGGCCCUGGUCUUGCAGUUAGAAUCCUUUGUGCGGACGAACCUUACAUAGAGAAAGAUUUCUCCGAGACUCAGGUCAUAGUGAAAAUAAUGGCCGAAUACGAGCAGAUGCUACAGAAGAAGCACGCGUUGUUAAAUCGCGUAGAAAGUGCGACUAGCGAAGUCGAGCGUCAGUAUCUCCGCAGAGUGUCGAGUCGUCGUCAUAUCGCGGCGACUCUCUUACCGAUUCGCAGCGUAGGCGUUCAGGGCGAUCGGAGAAGUUACAGCUAUGUGGUAGGUCUGUCAUGCGAGGAGACUGUGUCCGAGGGGAUAGAAUGGGAGGACAUGUUGUUCCUCGCAAAGCUGAUUCCACGCGUGUGCCACAACGUGAAUCGCGUGUGCUACAUCUUUGGGCCACAGCUUCAUCACCCAAUCCAGGACAUUACACCUACGUAUCUCACUUCGAACGUGAUAGCGACCCUGCGGCAGGCGGACCACUUAGCUAAUCAAGUGUUCGCCGCGAAUGGCUGUAUGGACGCAAUCAGCCAGAUGCCUGUUGUUUUAAUCCCCAUACACUUUGACCGUGACGCGGCGUGUCGAACGCUGUCAUGUCAACGUUCCGUUGUGCUUAGGCCGUUCUGUACUAAUGAUUUUAUGACUGGGACACCUGCCAUUCCCGGAAAGGAUCUGCCGAUACACGUGGUAAAGAAAGUGGUAACGGAAAUAUCCACGGUGCCCGGAAUCUCACGCGUUUUGUACGACCUAACGUCUAAACCUCCGGGAACAACCGAAUGGGAGUAGUGAACGCUCAUCUCAUCCCUUUCUAUUUUUUCACCAUCCCUGCGCGCGACUACAAAGCAAAAUAUAUAUAUUUAAAAAAAUAUAUAUAUAUUACAAAACACACACGAAUUCGAGGCUUCUCUAGAAAAAGAAUGGCAUUUGAUUGAAAUUUAAAGGUAAGUAUCGUGUUUGCUUGUAAAUAUGUUUCUCUUGAUUACACACUCAGACUUACACAUUGUAAAAAAAGGUGUGUUAAUUUAUUAAAAUCUAAAGUUUUGUAUUCAAUCGCCGUUAUUACAUCUCGAAUCGUUACAUCCGAUCGACGGUACCAUUAGAUUACUGUUGUACUCGAUCUGCAUAUAACGUUGAACGUGUCUCACCGUUCUUCUGUAUGUCCUAUGCCAAAUGCAGUUCCCAGUUUUCGUUGUACAUCUACAAAACAGGCGGACAUAUAAAUAAGUUAAUGUGUAUCAUGUGCCGAAUAUUUUUUAUUUAUCGUUCAUGAGCGAGUAAAGCGAUGUUUAUUCCUUAAA
rnacentral:misc_RNA from 1 species